AGCUUUGCACAGUGGCAGUAUCAUAGCCAGUGAGGUUUACCUGAGAUGCGAUUAUUGCUAACUGAAGGAACUGAUGCACCCCUAUAUUCACAGCUACAUUAUUCAUAAUAGCCAUAGUGGAAGCAGCCUUAAUUUCCAUCAUCAGAUG
rnacentral:snRNA from 1 species